rnacentral:tRNA from 1 species
GCGGGGGUCGCCAAGCCUGGUCAACGGCGCAAGGUUCAGGCCCUUGUCCCGAAGGGGUUCGUGGGUUCAAAUCCCACCCCCCGCACCA